CGCGUAGGCGGCCUUUUCAGUCGGAUGUGAAAGCCCGGGGCUCAACCCCGGAACGGCAUCCGAGACGGGAAGGCUGGAGACCGGGAGAGGAGGGUGGAAUAGCCAGUGUAGAGGUGAAAUUCGUAGAUAUUGGCUGGAACACCGGUGGCGAAAGCGGCUCUCUGGCCCGGGUCUGACGCUGAGGCGCGAAAGCGUGGGGAGCAAACA
rnacentral:rRNA from 1 species